rnacentral:rRNA from 1 species
AGCAGUCGCCGCGGGAAUACGUAGGUGGCAAGCGUUGUCCGGAAUUAUUGGGCGUAAAGGGCUCGCAGGCGGUUCCUUAAGUCUGAUGUGAAAGCCCCCGGCUCAACCGGGGAGGGUCAUUGGAAACUGGGAAACUUGAGUGCAGAAGAGGAGAGUGGAAUUCCACGUGUAGCGGUGAAAUGCGUAGAGAUGUGGAGGAACACCAGUGGCGAAGGCGACUCUCUGGUCUGUAACUGACGCUGAGGAGCGAAAGCGUGGGGAGCGAACAGGAUUAGAUACCCCUGUAGUCCCUGUCUCUUAUAC